rnacentral:lncRNA from 1 species
UGUAUCGUCGUUGUCGUUUGUUUGUCCUAGUAUUUUAUCCUAUUUUGGAUUCAUUUGGAUUUUGUUGGCUGUUUUGUGUGUAUUUUUUAAAACUUUUGUUUGUCAUUUGUAAAUUUUAUAAAUUUACCACAAUGGAAAGUGACUAUUUAAGGAAAUUAUUAUUGGAAACUCCGCAGAUGUUUUAGAAAGAUAUUCAUUGAAGCUGAAAAUAAUUGGAGAUUUAGAUCCAUAUACAAUUCAGUCAUCAGAAUUGGAUUUUACAGUGCAUUCCAUCAAUAAGGUACUGUUAUAAUGCUAUUAUAGGUAGACUGGUAGAGUCUCACAGUUACUACUUUAAGCAGCAGAUGAAAGCAUACAAAAGCCUUCAGACACAUAAAAGCCUUCACAACUGGAUUUGUUUUGAAACAUUUGAUGUUUUGAUGAUUUCUAUAUUAUUGUUGGAGAGGU